CUUCUGCUAUUCGCCUUCAUUAUCCCGGCCUGCGCUCCCCUGCCGCUCCAUCGUGUCCGCCAACUAUCCACAGAACCCCUUUGCCUACCAGCAGCAGCGGCGCUAUCUGGGAGGCGAAACCGUUCACCUCUUCCGCGAUCUGAGGGCUUCUAAGAGAGUUCCAUGGCGGAUCGUUCUAUUGUGGCGCCUAAACCGAUAUGGAUGAAGCAGGCGGAGGAGGCCAGAAUCAAGAGUGAGGCGGAUAAGGACGCCGCUGCUAAAGCUGCAUUUGAGGCAACUUUUAAGGACAUUGAUAAGGCAAAAUUGAAGCACGAUUCUUCGGACAGCGAUGAUAAUGAGAGGGAUGAGGAGGAGUUGUCUAACAAGCCCAUUGGUCCUGUUGAUUCCUCCAAGUGUUUGGCAGCUGGUGCUGGAAUUGCAGGUGGAACCGCCUGCUCUCCCUCCACAUUUAGUAUCAUUACUAAGGACUCCGAUGGACGUAAAAUCCCCACAGGUGGUUCGCAAAUCAAGGUUAAGAUCUCACCUGGUGUUGGAGUUGGUGGAGUGGAUCUGGAGGGCAUGGUCAAGGACCAGGGGGAUGGCACCUAUGCGGUAACUUAUGCUGUGCCGAAGCGUGGGAAUUAUAUGGUUCAUGUGGAGUGCAAUGGAAAACAAAUUAUGGGGAGCCCUUUUCCAGUGUUCUUCAGUGCUGGCCCAGCCAUCGGUACGACCAGCUUUCCUACAACCACUACCGCUUACCAUAAUAUGGUGAACCAGACAAUGCCUAACAUGCCUAAUUACUCUGGUUCUGUUUCGGGAGCAUUUCCUGGACUCCUUGGAAUGAUUCCAGGUGUCGCUUCAGGUUCUUCCGGUGGAGUGGUUCUACAAGGGGUAGGAUCAUCUCUAGGAGAGAUAUGUAAGCAGUAUUUGAAUGGACAGUGUGCAAAGAGUGACUGCAAGUACAGCCACCCUCCUCAUAAUUUAUUGAUGUCGGCAUUGGCAGCCACAACAACUAUGGGGACCUUAAGUCAGCAGCCUAUGGCUCCUUCUGCUGCUGCAAUGGCCGCCGCUCAAGCAAUAGUGGCAGCUCAGGCACUUCAGGCACAUGCGGCUCAGAUGCAAGCACAGGCCAAAUCAAUAGAAGAAUCAUCUGACUCUAUGGACAAGGCUGGAAAGGCUGACGCUUUGAAAAGGACACUACAAGUUAGUAACUUAAGUCCUCUUCUCACUGUUGAUCAGCUUAAACAGCUAUUUGGUUACUGUGGCACAGUGUUGGACUGCACGAUUACAGACUCAAAACAUUUUGCUUACAUAGAGUAUUCAAAACCAGAAGAAGCUACUGCAGCGCUGGCAUUGAACAACAUGGAUGUUGGGGGACGACCUUUGAAUGUUGAGAUAGCUAAAUCCCUUCCUUCCAAAUCCUCCAUGAUGAAUUCUUCUUUGCCAUUGAUGAUGCAGCAAGCCGUUGCUUUGCAACAGAUGCAAUUUCAGCAGGCUUUGCUGAUGCAGCAAGCAAUGUCAGCCCAGCAGGCUGCUUCUCGAGCCGCAACAAUGAAGUCUGCAACGGAGAUGGCAUCUGCCCGUGCCGCUGAGAUCAGUAAGAAGUUAAAAGCUGAAGGUUUGAUAGAUAAUGAUAAGGAAGCUGACAAAAAAUCCAGCUCACCAGCUUCUCCUCCCCAUAGAUCUAAUUCUCGAUCGAAGUCUCCUAUUAAGUUCCGUCGAAGCAGGAGAUCCCGAUCUAAUUCUCCGGUUAGGUACGCCAGAGAUCGCAGGUCACCAUUCCUAAUAAGAUAUCGCAGGUCACCAUCCCCAAAAAGAUAUCGCAGGUCAUCACCCCGAAAUAGAUCUCACAGAUCACCACCCCCCGCAAGAUCUCAUCAUCAUGGUGAUGAAAGAAGGCAAUACAAGAGUCCAAGGGAUAGUUACAAUAGAGGUGGAAGGCGGGAAAGAGAGAGAUCCAUGGAUAAGGGUAGCUCACGUGAUCACUAUUCAUCUUCUUCAAUGAGAUACAGGAGCAGGAGUGCAAGCCCUAAGCCAAGAAAGUCUGCCCGGGCAAGUUCCAGAUCUCCAAAAUGUUAUAGAGGAAGUAAAAGCCCUAGAUCAAAGAUAUCAUUUCAAUCUAAUUCAAGGUCUCCUAAGCAUCAUAGAGAAAGUAGGUCUUCUCCAGUUCAUGACGGUUCGUCCAUUCGUGGCAGGCUCUCAAGAUCUAGAUCAGCUGAGAAAAGGAAUUAUUCCCUUGAAAAAGAAGAAGCAGGAAGAUUAGAAAAGCUGAAACUGGAAGCUAAGAAACUUGAUAGAACCAAGAAAACAGAUGAAAACAAUGCUAAUGAUGAAAAAAGUUCCCGGGAAUCUAAAGAUGAGAAUUUGGGUCAUAAAAGGAGCUGCGUGCAUGAGCAUGUGAAUGUAAAGAAUGAUCAAGAAUCUGGCCAUUAUAAAAGUUCAAAAUUGGAUGAAAGAAAUUCGUUAAUACAAGAAUCCUUAAUGAGGGAUGUAAACUCUAUUGGGGAUGAGGAGGAUGUGAUUGAAGAUAAGAAGUUUGUUGGUUCCCCAGAUUUGAAAUCAUCACGCAACCGAAUGUCUGGACGUGGCAGGGAUACCUACUCUGAAAAUCACGAACAUAAGAAAACUUCCGAUGAUUAUUAUGUUGAAAAUGAUGAUUCGAUUAACUACAAGAAAUCAAGUAGAAAAUAUAGAAGACAUGAAAAACUAGACUCUGCUACGAAGGAGAGAGAGUACUCACAUUCGAAGGAUGAUAAUAGGUCCUCACAUUAUUCAAGCUCAAGAUCACAAAAACUAGACUCUGCUACAAAGGAGAGAGAAUACUUACAUUCUAAGGAUGAGAAUAGAUCCUCAUAUUAUUCGAGCUCAAGAUCAGAAAAACUAGACUCUGCUACGAAGGAGAGAGAAUACUCACUUUCCAAGGAUGAGAAUAGAUCCUCACAUUAUUCAAGCUCAAGAUCACAUAGAAGUUCAAGGCAUUUGGACGAGAGAUCUUCCAAGGAUGACUACAAUCGACGGAAGAAGGAAAAUUUAGAAGCGGAGUAUGAGAAGCAUCAUAGGAGUGGGAGUGAAACUAAAGAAUCUAGACAUUCAACAAAAAGGAAGGAUAGGGACAUGCAUUCUACCAUGGCACAUCCUGAUUGUUCAAAUUCGUUUGCGACCGAGGGUGCAACACAAUCAUGUGUAAAAAUGGUUGACAAUCACGAUCAUUUGGAAGAAAUUGCCUCAGUGGUUGUCAAGCAAAAUGCACUUGUUAAUGGUGUUCCAGACUUGCAAGAGGAUUGUACCUCUGGUUAUAAUUUGAUAAAUAGAAAAGCAUCCAUCGGGGCUAUGGAUGAUUGUGCUGGAUGUGAAGAGUCAAAACUGAAUGUUGAAAAGGUUAAUGAAGUAAAAUCAUACGACCAGAUAUCAACAGAAUUGAAUCAUUUUAGUAAUAAUAAAGAUCAUUUUAACCAUGAUUCAACUUUCUUUGAAAGUAAUCAGAAAAUCAGGGAGACUGAUAUAAUUGAUCAGGCUGAGGAUACUGAUGUGAAUUUGUCAGCGUUUGUUAAUCUCAGAAUUCCAGAUGUUUUAAAAGAGGAUGAUACAUUAGAAACAGGGUGCAGGGAUGUUGCAAAUCCUCAGGAAUGCAUAAAUGAUAAGCCAUCAAAUAAUGAAGAUCAUGUUCUGGAUGGGGAGGUUCUUUAAAGUUGGAUGCCAAACUCUUUGGGGGGAAAAUAGGAACUUUUUACGCAUUAGCGAUUGAUCUUGUGAAUCCUUGAGCAAGAUGAGAGAGGAAAGACUAUUAGAUGAUAGAACUUGAUAGUUGGUUUUCUUAUGAUCGGCUGUUUUACUUGCAGGACCUGAAGCUCGAGAUCUUACAGGAAUGGCUCAAUUUAGUGCACGUGUGCUCGUUGUGAUUCUAACUAGAAAUGAUGGCCAAAUGCUGCUUUUAAGGAAAUGAAACUUCCAAAGCUUCCAUAUCUUAAAAAUUGUUCUGGGAUUCCUUGCUGUUUGCGCUUGAAAUGUGGAUCAUGAGACAUUUUUUGUUCAUGAGGAUUCUUUUUUCAAAGUUAUAGGUGAUGGCAAGUGUUCUGUGGUCAUUGAAAUACGUCGAUGGGAGCUUGAUGAUAUCGGCAUUCAGUAAAGGGUUUUUAUGGUUCAGUAUAAAUCCGCCUGAUAUAAUGCUUUGGGGUGUUUGCAUGGGUACCACAUAAUUCUUAUGUAUUUAUAUAUCUAACACCAAAAAAUUCAUAGCUUCAUGCAUACCACUCAAAUAUUUAACCUCAUGUCAAGAAUACCACCAUCACUUUCUUUUUAAAGUGAAAUACACUUUUUCAUGCAUAAAUUUAUGCCACCAAUGUAUUAUAAGCGUAAAUAUGAAACUUUGGUUGUUAGAUAUGUAAGUACAUAAGAAUUCGGUGGUAUGCAUGCAUGUAAAUUUUCCUAAAUUUUUAACCAUAUUGUAUAUUCAAUUGGUGGGCUUGUAAAAAAUUAGCUCACUGAGAACAAUUUUAAGAGAUUUGGACUUAAAUAGCAUCUGUCGUGUCAAAAUAAAUGUGCAGGCUUUCUCCCUCGGAUCGCUGUUGGCGUACCUGGAAAGAAUGCGUCGAGGUCGUCCUCAAUGCUGGCAUUGGAGGAUAUCCAUGAGAAGUUUUAGUAGGAAGAACGCUCAUGGACUAUAGAGAGCAAAAUUUGUCCUCCCAGAUUAGGCCUUCUCUACCCCAGCUGCUGCUUAUAUUUGCCUCUUCUACUUCCCAAAUGUGGUGGUUAGCUGUUCCAUGCUUUAAAGGCUAAAGAUAGGGUUUUGGAACGCCUGCUCCUUCAGAGUGACAAUUUUUUUUUUAUUGCAAUUUAUUUUAUUUGAUUUUUUUAGUCUAAAUCUGUAACUUUUUUUGCAGUUUCUGUUUUUUCAAGUUAGGAUUUCAUAAUUUCUUCCUAUUCAUUGGUGUCAACAUAUGCCAGGUACAGGUCAUGUGUAGUCGUUGAGACAGAUUAACUGUGAAGAAGAAUUCUUCUUAAAAUCUUCUCAACAUGCAUUGUUUUGAUAAUAUUAGAUAAAUAUUCACAAAUGAUAGUCUAUUAUCUUUGUUUUCUUUUUA